CCUACGGGUGGCAGCAGUGGGGAAUAUUGGACAAUGGGCGAAAGCCUGAUCCAGCCAUGCCGCGUGUGUGAAGAAGGCCUUCGGGUUGUAAAGCACUUUCAGUGGGGAAGAAAGCCUUGGGGCUAAUACCCUCGAGGAAGGACAUCACCCACAGAAGAAGCACCGGCUAACUCCGUGCCAGCAGCCGCGGUAAUACGGAGGGUGCGAGCGUUAAUCGGAAUUACUGGGCGUAAAGCGCGCGUAGGCGGUCUGAUAAGCCGGUUGUGAAAGCCCCGGGCUCAACCUGGGAACGGCAUCCGGAACUGUCAGGCUAGAGUGCAGGAGAGGAAGGUAGAAUUCCCGGUGUAGCGGUGAAAUGCGUAGAGAUCGGGAGGAAUACCAGUGGCGAAGGUGGCCUUCUGGACUGACACUGACGCUGAGGUGCGAAAGCGUGGGUAGCAAACAGGAUUAGAUACCCGAGUAGUC
rnacentral:rRNA from 1 species